UGGAGCCCAAAGUCUCGAGCAAAAUCAAACUGCAGAGAGGCAGGAAAGAAGACAUCUUUCAGAGAAGCCAAGCUACAAACAGAGUGAAGCAGGUGACCCCUUUUUCAAGGAUUCCACAAACAUGGUACAAGACUGUGUGUACAGUGCAUAUUCCUAUGAAGAGGUCCUGCCCCAUCAUCCUGGCCACAACUGAGACCCCUGAUGACAUUGAGAUUCAGUCUCUGAAGGACCUGAACUAAGAUACAAAGACAGAUUAACUGCAAUCAACUACCUCUCCUGGAAAAAAUGGAUACUCUCAAAUAUACUCAAAAUUUUACAAUCAAAAAAAUAAGGAGAGGGGGAUCAAGAUGGCAGAGGAGGAGGAUGUGGAGCUCACCUCCCCACACAAACAC